GACGAACGCUGGCGGCGUGCUUAACACAUGCAAGUCGAACGGUGAAAGCGGAGCUUGCUCCGCUGGAUCAGUGGCGAACGGGUGAGCAACACGUGGGCAACCUGCCCCUCACUUCGGGAUAACUCCGGGAAACCGGGGCUAAUACCGGAUAUGACCUCCUUGGGCAUCCUUGGAGGUGGAAAGUUUUUCGGUGAGGGAUGGGCCCGCGACCUAUCAGCUUGUUGGUGAGGUAGUGGCUCACCAAGGCGACGACGGGUAGCCGGCCUGAGAGGGCGACCGGCCACACUGGGACUGAGACACGGCCCAGACUCCUACGGGAGGCAGCAGUGGGGAAUAUUGCGCAAUGGGCGAAAGCCUGACGCAGCAACGCCGCGUGCGGGAUGACGGCCUUCGGGUUGUAAACCGCUUUCAGCAGGGAAGAAGCCGCAAGGUGACGGUACCUGCAGAAGAAGCACCGGCUAACUACGUGCCAGCAGCCGCAGUAA
rnacentral:rRNA from 1 species